AUGGCACGCUCGCUUGUCAAACAUAAUUGUUUUAACGCGAUCACCUUCGGUCCACGUGAUAAUAUUACCGAUAAAACUUUCAAAUUAACUGUAAUAAUGUACAGUAAUCGCGUGCUUGUGUAUGAACUGUAGUGAUGGACUGUUGUAAUGCGGCGAAAACGUAGUAAUUUUGCUGUUUUGGUCGACAAAAUAGUUUAAUGGCACUCAACUGUACUAUAAAGGUGGUCGUAACACGGCGGUAUGGCUAAAAGAGUCCUGAAUAAUUCAACAGAAUAUUUAGCCGGUCCCAAAACUGGGCCUUGUGUGACACCACAUGACUGCAGACACAAUGCCAAAAAGAUUAUGCCCCCGUAAUGGACUAGUGCGGAACAUUGAUGUGAAAUCGAUUCGAACAAUGAAUCCGAUGCCGGUUUAAUCGAAUGAA